rnacentral:rRNA from 1 species
UACGUAGGUCCCGAGCGUUGUCCGGAUUUAUUGGGCGUAAAGCGAGCGCAGGUGGUUUAAUAAGUCUGAUGUAAAAGGCAGUGGCUCAACCAUUGUGUGCAUUUGAAACUGUUAGACUUGAGUGCAGUAGAGGAGAGUGGAAUUCCAUGUGUAGCGGUGAAAUGCGUAGAUAUAUGGAGGAACACCGGUGGCGAAAGCGGCUCUCUGGACUGUCACUGACACUGAGGCUCGAAAGCGUGGGUAGCAAACAGG